UUUCAUUUGUUGUGGCCGACAUUCUUUUUCAAAAGUCGUUUGGAUUUUGUCCACCGAUGGGAUCAUCAAAAGGAUCAAAAGUAGAUUCGGAUGAUCCUGCUGGCUCCUCUAUUUUGUCUUCUUCUUUUGGCUUUUGUAAAUAGUUCAGAUAUUCUUUCAGCAUCUCGGGAUUCUGCAUAAUUUGCUUUAUCAAAAAGUUACUGGCUGUUUCUUCGGAUGCCAUUUCCGUCACUUUUUCUUUGUCUCUUUUUGGAGUGACUGGUGUAGUGGUUGGAAUGAUUGUUGACUGUCUU
rnacentral:lncRNA from 1 species